CCCGCUGAACUUAAGCAUAUAAUUAAGCGGAGGAAAAGAAACCAAAAGGGAUACCCUCAGUAGCGGCGAGCGAACAGGGUGGAGCCCAGCGUGAAGGGCUGCCGCCGAAAGGCGUGCAGCCGGUGCCACGUGUAUGGCGUAGUGCUAACCGUGAGUUUCUCGGCGCUGCAAGUUCCCCUGACAGGGACUUCUUUCCAAAGUGGGUGCUAGGCCCAUAGCGGACGUCGAGGGCUUUCGCUAGCUGCGUCAUAAUAGAGUCGGGUUGCUUGAGAGUGCAACCUAAAGCAGGUGGUAAACUCCAUCUAAGGCUAAAUACUACUGCGAUACCGAUAGCAAACAAGUACCGUGAGGGAAAGUUGCAAAGAACUUUGAAGAGAGGGUUCAAAAGGACGUGAAACCGCUUGCAGGUAAACGGGUGGACCCACGAAGUUGUGCGGAGCGAGGAUUCAACUAUCUAACCGUCGACUGUGUCAGUUGAGUGGCUUUCGAAAGAGGGUGCUCGGCUGGUGCGCUAAGGCCGGCGGUCAGUGGUGCAUUUCCUUGUCUCUCGCGCUAACACCGCGACCACUUGGACAUGCUGCGAGACCAUAUGCGAAUGUUGGUUGGAGGUAGCCCGGGCACUUUCGGGUGUCACGCGUGUUAUACCGGCCUGUUUGUCAUCUCGUCAGUAAGACCGAGUGGCUUAACUUCCCAGUUUCUGGGUUGGCAAGUGUCAGUCUUGCCCGGCUCCGAGGCGAGUGCUCUCGUCAGUGUGCGUUUGGUCACUCAGUGGCUGAAGUCGCUGGCGAGUAGUCCGUCUAAGCGGUGUCGGUGUCUUGGCGGGCACGAGCAUCUGCGGUGAGUAGGUCGGUCAUCCACCCGACCCGUCUUGAAACACGG
rnacentral:rRNA from 1 species